AAUCCAUGGUAUGGGCAUUUUUGAAUCAGCAUCUUAAAACACUCCGAUACUUCAUGAAAAAUUUUCCUCUCUAACUAUUUUAACCUCGAAAUUUCCCUUCUUAGCU
rfam:Gossypium arboreum cultivar AKA8401 contig_811_5, whole genome shotgun sequence.